UUGUUCUCUUUUCUUGAACAAUCCUCUGUUUAAGAGUGUAAUGUUGGAUACAAUGUAUUGUAUUGUCAAUUAUUUCAGUGCAAAUUGGAAAAUUCUUUAGCUACAUUAUCAUAGAAACUAAAAUUGAUUUGAUUUAACUUAGCCUUUCAUGGGUUUUGUUCUAUUAUACUAAACAGGGUUGUGCUAGGAAUCCUACUCAUGCAUUCAUGGGGCUUGUCAGCAAGGGUCUUGAGCUAUGGAUAUAUUAGGCACAAGUUGAUUUGCUCUCAUUCAAUUAGUCAAGAAAACCUCAUAAGUCGAAGCUUCUCAAGGAUUUGAUUGUUCAGAUACAUUGUAGAAGCCCUGGAGAUGCUAUUGAUGUCCAUGGCAAAAGAUGGUACUGAGGCUCUUGGGCUCAAUGGGAAAUGAUGCUCCUUUGGCUGUGAUGUCCAACAGAGAGAAACUUACAUUUGAGUAUUUCAAGCAGAUGUUUGCUCAGGUAACAAACCCACCGAUUGAUCCGAUUCGAGAGAAAAUAGUCACGUGGAAGGGGACCUUACUGAAACAGUUCAUGUGGAAGGCUAUGUGGUAGUUUGUUUGUUUUGAAAACUUUCAAUAGACCAUUAAUUGUUUUGUUGGUAUUGUGCUGAUUGUUGUCUUGAUGGAUGUUAAAUGGGUGAAACAUGCAUAGGUUCAAUGAUUGGUUGAUUAUAAUAUUGUUAGCUUUUGUUGAUAGAAA